UACGUAGGGUGCGAGCGUUAAUCGGAAUUACUGGGCGUAAAGUGUGCGCAGGCGGCAGAGCAAGUCGAGUGUGAAAGCCCCGGGCUUAACUUGGGAAUUGCGCUCGAAACUACUUUGCUGGAGUGUGGCAGAGGAAGGUGGAAUUCCACGUGUAGCGGUGAAAUGCGUAGAGAUGUGGAGGAACACCGAUGGCGAAGGCAGCCCCCUGGGCUAACACUGACGCUCAGGCACGAAAGCGUGGGGAGCAAACAGG
rnacentral:rRNA from 1 species